UGGCGGCGUGGCUAAAGCAUGCAAGUCGAGCGAACCCGCAAGGGUGAGCGGCGGACGGGUUAGUAAUACGAUCGAACGUACCUCGAGGUGGGGGAUAGGCACGGGAAACUGUGCGUAAUACCCCAUGAUCUCUCCGGAGCAAAGGUUUACCGCCUUGAGAUCGGCGAUCGUCCUAUCAGCUAGUUGGCGGGGUAAAGGCCCACCAAGGCUAUGACGGGUAGCAGGUGUGAGAGCACGACCUGCAACAUCGGGACUGAGACACUGCCCGGACUCCUACGGGAGGCUGCAGCGACGAAUCUUCCGCAAUGGGCGCAAGCCUGACGGAGCGACGCCGCGUGUGGGAUGAAGCGCCUUCGGUGUGUAAACCACUGUCAGGAAAUAGAACCAAUGAUCAUUUCCAAAGGAAGAGACGGCUAACCCUGUGCCAGCAGCCGCGGUAAGACAGGGGUCUCGAGCGUUAAUCGGAAUUACUGGGCUUAAAGGGUGCGUAGGCCGGCCCGCAAGUGCUUUGUGAAAUCCCAUGGCUCAACCAUGGAACUGCUUGGCAUACUGCGGGUCUUGAGGAAGGUAGGGGUUGCCAGAACUGUAGGUGGAGCGGUGAAAUGCGUAGAUAUCUACAGGAAUGCCGAUGGUGAAGACGGGCAACUGGGCC
rnacentral:rRNA from 1 species